GGGAUAUCCCCCACUGUGCUGCCAGUGUAAGGGGGUGUAGAGGGGUUCUGGGAUAUCCCCCACUGUGCUUCCAGUGGUAGAGGGGGCUGGGCUAUCCCCACCUGUGCGCCAGUGUAGAGGGGGUGUAGAGGGGGUCUGGGAUAUCCCCCACUGUGCUGCCAGUGUAGAGGGGGUCUGGGAUAUCCCCCACUG
rnacentral:lncRNA from 1 species